UGUCCUGUUCCAUCAUCCCCUCCCAGCAAGAUUAGUACUGCCUGUUGACUCAAAAGGAGAGGAUUGUGAUAUCAGCAAUAGGAGGCAAGUCUUCUGCCCUGAGGAUACAUCCUGAUUGAAGAAGUGUGAAAAUACAGGUCAGCCACAUCGGCUCUUCAGUGCUCAAGAAGCUGAGUGGUGGUGCUGGGGUUGUGGCUCAGUGGUAGAACACUUGCCAAGCGUGUGUGAGGCAUUGGGUUUGAUUCUCAGCACCCACAUGAUUCCCGUCCACAUUCCAGGGGCGUCGUGAGGGUAUUCAAAUCCUGACCCCAGAAGGCAAAGAACUUCUCAAUUCGGAGACUGCGAAGAGCAUAAUACCCAGCAUUCCGGAUUCCAUAUUUCUGUCCAACAUUCAUCACUUCAUUGUAUACGUGAAGAGCAUACUAUACAAAGAAAGGAAAGUUGUAGAUGGACACAAUACCUUUAUUUUGUUUUUAUGAAGUGC